rnacentral:rRNA from 1 species
AUUGAACGCUGGCGGCAGGCCUAACACAUGCAAGUCGAGCGGAUGAAGGGAGCUUGCUCCUGGAUUCAGCGGCGGACGGGUGAGUAAUGCCUGGGAAUCUGCCUGGUAGUGGGGGAUAACGUCCGGAAACGGGCGCUAAUACCGCAUACGUCCUGAGGGAGAAAGUGGGGGAUCUUCGGACCUCACGCUAUCAGAUGAGCCUAGGUCGGAUUAGCUAGUUGGUGGGGUAAAGGCCUACCAAGGCGACGAUCCGUAACUGGUCUGAGAGGAUGAUCAGUCACACUGGAACUGAGACACGGUCCAGACUCCUAUGGGAGGCAGCAGUGGGGAAUAUUGGACAAUGGGCGAAAGCCUGAUCCAGCCAUGCCGCGUGUGUGAAGAAGGUCUUCGGAUUGUAAAGCACUUUAAGUUGGGAGGAAGGGCAGUAAGUUAAUACCUUGCUGUUUUGACGUUACCAACAGAAUAAGCACCGGCUAACUUCGUG